rnacentral:lncRNA from 1 species
CCGAACCGGCGGGUGCCGAUUAAAGGCGCCGCCUGCCGCUUUCUCCUCGCCCCCCAGCGCCGCAGCUCUCCGCCCCCUUCCCGAGUAGCGGGACCGGCCUUGAUGUAGGGACACCACCCCCCGUCUCCUUCCGCCCCAGCCCGGGAGCUCGGCUCGCUGCAGCCCCUGGCCCUCCCGUUUCCCCACCCUGCCUGCCCCGCUCUGCUCCGAACCCAUUGUAUACGGCCGGCUGCGGACUCCCAGGCCGGGCCGUGGCGGGGGCCCCGGGACCCCCGAGUGCCCCUCCGGCUGGUCCCGCGGGCCGCGGCAUCUCCGCCGCCGCCUUCCUCGCGGCGGCGGCGAGGGCGCCCUUUCCUCCCCGCGCGGGUGACGGGGACGCACCCCCACCCCGGGGCGCCCCUUCGCGGGGGGAGAGCCGGGCCCGAGCAAGUCGAGGCAGGAAAGGGCCGCCACGGACUGCCCGGCCCGCCGAUCGUUUUUAUUAUCGAGAUUAUUAUUAAAAGGGGGCGGGGACCCCAGGACGCGGGGGAGGGGCUGGAUACGCAGGUAUUUUUAUUAAACAGAUUAUUCCUGAAAUAAUAAUACGCGCAAGAUGGCUGAAGGUGGCUGUGAUGAGAGUGUUGGGGUUGGGAUUUUUUUCUUCCUGUUUUUUCUUUUUUGAUCUGAGGAUAAAGCUCUGAGGCGACAGCGGCUGCGGAGACCCUGCCCGAAGCGCCCUCCCCUCCCUUGAGAAGCCGCGGGCAGACAGACGGACCUCGGACCGAGCAACGGGUGCGGGCCCGCCCCGGACGCGUCGCCUGGGCAGCAGCCGGGGACCGCGGGCUCUCGCCUUUCUGCCGACUUCUUCCAAUUCUCAUCUUCUUUUAUUUUUUGGACAGGACCGGGGGAGGAGGAAGGCAGAGGCGGGCUGGUGUCUCUGGCCGGGGACUGGAAUUUCAUCUGAAUGACUGCCCCUGCGCGCACGCAGCGCCCCGGAGUCGGCCCGCCCGCGCCCCGCAGCCCGCGCCCGGCCAGCCAGCCGGGGGACGCCUGCACCGUGGCCCGGGGACCGCCGGCCUGCCCCUCCCGCCCCGUCCGGAUCUAGCAGCCCUCGGCGCGGCCGCCCUCGCCUCCUGGCCCCGCAGACCCCGGGCUCCGGCCCCUGCGAGGGAGGUGCGGCGCCGACGAGCCAGGCAGGAGCCGCCGCUGCCGCCGCCGCCGGAAGAAGUGUGCUGCUCCCAAGCUCCGUCUGCCGCGGGGCGCGCCCCAAUGUCAGCCGCGGGGACGAGCGCAGGCCGCGGGCCGCCACUGCCCUAGCCGCGCCGACGGGGAGGCGGCCUCUUAUAUGGAAUUUGGACCCCGGCGCUCCCCUCCAAGGCUGGAGUCCCGGCCGCGGCCCUGGCGCAGUCCGCCGCCUCCCGCUAGGCGCUCGGGAGGAGGAGGAGACGCAGCCCGCUGCGCGCGCGGCGUGAGGACCGCGGCUCCCUCCUCCGGGGGGCGGGCACGCGGAAGG